rnacentral:misc_RNA from 1 species
UGGAAGGAGAGAACAGACUAUGAAGCCCUGGGAAGACACAAGAACCACACACAAAAGAAAUCAAAGCUUCCAAAGAAAAGUAUCUUGCACAAGUAAAGGUCAUUGGCAUCCUCGUUUCUCUGUUUAUCGUCAAUCAACUGAUUAAUACCAUAUGUCUAACCAGUGUUCAGUUAGUAUCUGAUGAAGCUUUCUGUUCUGUGCUGCAACUCUUUUGAAAUUAAGUGAUUGUGCAUUAGAG